rnacentral:rRNA from 1 species
AUUGAACGCUGGCGGCAGGCCUAACACAUGCAAGUCGAGCGGAUGAAGGGAGCUUGCUCCUGGAUUCAGCGGCGGACGGGUGAGUAAUGCCUAGGAAUCUGCCUGGUAGUGGGGGAUAACGUCCGGAAACGGGCGCUAAUACCGCAUACGUCCUGAGGGAGAAAGUGGGGGAUCUUCGGACCUCACGCUAUCAGAUGAGCCUAGGUCGGAUUAGCUAGUUGGUGGGGUAAGGGCCUACCAAGGCGACGAUCCGUAACUGGUCUGAGAGGAUGAUCAGUCACACUGGAACUGAGACACGGUCCAGACCCCUACGGGAGGCAGCAGUGGGGAAUAUUGGACAAUGGGCGAAAGCCUGAUCCAGCCAUGCCGCGUGUGUGAAGAAGGUCUUCGGAUUGUAAAGCACUUUAAGUUGGGAGGAAGGGCAGUAAGUUAAUACCUUGCUGUUUUGACGUUACCAACAGAAUAAGCACCGGCUAACUUCGUG